AGCGAACGCUGGCGGCAGGCCUAACACAUGCAAGUCGAACGGAUCCUUCGGGAUUAGUGGCGGACGGGUGAGGAACACGUGGGAACGUGCCUUUUGGUUCGGAACAACUCAGGGAAACUUGAGCUAAUACCGGAUGUGCCCUUCGGGGGAAAGAUUUAUCGCCAUUAGAGCGGCCCGCGUCUGAUUAGCUGGUUGGUGGGGUAAGAGCCCACCAAGGCGACGAUCGGUAGCCGGUCUGAGAGGACGGACGGCCACACUGGGACUGAGAUACGGCCCAGACUCCUACGGGAGGCAGCAGUGGGGAAUUUUGGGCAAUGGGCGAAAGCCUGACCCAGCAACGCCGCGUGGAGGAAGAGGGCCUUCGGGUUGUAAACUACCUGUCCCGAGGGACGAAGUAGGUGACGGUACCUUGGGAGGAAGCCCGGCUAACUCCGUGCCAGCAGCCGCGGUAAGAUAGCGUACU
rnacentral:rRNA from 1 species